CCUACGGGAGGCAGCAGUGGGGAAUAUUGCACAAUGGGGGAAACCCUGAUGCAGCGACGCCGCGUGAGUGAAGAAGUAUUUCGGUAUGUAAAGCUCUAUCAGCAGGGAAGAAAAUGACGGUACCUGAUUAAGAAGCCCCGGCUAACUACGUGCCAGCAGCCGCGGUAAUACGUAGGGGGCAAGCGUUAUCCGGAUUUACUGGGUGUAAAGGGAGCGUAGACGGCAGCACAAGUCUGGAGUGAAAUGCCUGGGCUUAACCCCGGAACUGCUUUGGAAACUGUGCAGCUAGAGUGCAGGAGAGGUAAGUGGAAUUCCUAGUGUAGCGGUGAAAUGCGUAGAUAUUAGGAGGAACACCAGUGGCGAAGGCGACUUACUGGACUGUAACUGACGUUGAGGCUCGAAAGCGUGGGGAGCAAACAGGAUUAGAUACCCUGGUAGUC
rnacentral:rRNA from 1 species